rnacentral:tRNA from 1 species
GGUGGCUCAGUGGUACAGCGCUUGCCUUGCAAGCAUGAGGACCUGGGUUCGAUUCCUCAGCACCA